AACGAACGCUGGCGGCAGGCCUAACACAUGCAAGUCGAGCGAGGACUUCGGUCCUAGCGGCGGACGGGUGAGUAACGCGUGGGAACGUGCCCUUUGCUUCGGAAUAGCCCUGGGAAACUGGGAGUAAUACCGGAUGAGCCCUUUGGGGGAAAGAUUUAUCGGCGAAGGAUCGGCCCGCGUUGGAUUAGGUAGUUGGUGGGGUAAUGGCCUACCAAGCCGACGAUCCAUAGCUGGUUUGAGAGGAUGAUCAGCCACACUGGGACUGAGACACGGCCCAGACUCCUACGGGAGGCAGCAGUGGGGAAUCUUAGACAAUGGGGGAAACCCUGAUCUAGCCAUGCCGCGUGAGCGAUGAGGGCCUUAGGGUUGUAAAGCUCUUUCAGCUGGGAAGAUAAUGACGGUACCAGCAGAAGAAGCCCCGGCUAACUCCGUG
rnacentral:rRNA from 1 species